UACAGAGGGUGCGAGCGUUGUUCGGAAUCACUGGGCGUAAAGGGUGCGUAGGCGGGUCUUUAAGUCAGGGGUGAAAUCCUGGAGCUCAACUCCAGAACUGCCUUUGAUACUGAGGAUCUUGAGUUCGGGAGAGGUGAGUGGAACUGCGAGUGUAGAGGUGAAAUUCGUAGAUAUUCGCAAGAACACCAGUGGCGAAGGCGGCUCACUGGCCCGAUACUGACGCUGAGGCACGAAAGCGUGGGGAGCAAACAGG
rnacentral:rRNA from 1 species